GAUGAACGCUAGCGGCAGGCUUAAUACAUGCAAGUCGAGGGACAGCACAGGUAGCAAUACUGGGUGGUAACCGGCAAACGGGUGCGGAGCACGUACACAACCUUCCUUUAAGUGGGGGAUAGCCCAGAGAAAUUUGGAUUAAUACCCCGUAAUAUAGUUGAAUGGCAUCAUUUGAUUAUUAUAGCUACGGCGCUUAAUGAUGGGCGUGCGGCUGAUUAGAUAGUUGGCGGGGUAACGGCCCACCAAGUCUACGAUCAGUAGCUGAUGUGAGAGCAUGAUCAGCCACACGGGAACUGAGACACGGGCCCGACUCCUACGGGAGGCAGCAGUAAGGAAUAUUGGUCAAUGGACGCAAGUCUGAACCAGCCAUGCCGCGUGAAGGAUUAAGGUCCUCUGGAUUGUAAACUUCUUUUAUUUGGGACGAAAAAGGGCCUUUCUAGGUCAACUGACGGUACCAGAUGAAUAAGCACCGGCUAACUCCGUGCCAGCAGCCGCAGUAAAAC
rnacentral:rRNA from 1 species